CAGUGCGGGCAGCUAUACAUGCAAGUCGAGCGAACAGAUGAGAAGCUUGCUUCUCUGAUGUUAGCGGCGGACGGGUGAGUAACACGUGGGUAACCUACCUAUAAGACUGGGAUAACUCCGGGAAACCGGGGCUAAUACCGGAUAAUAUUUUGAACCGCAUGGUUCAAUAGUGAAAGACGGUUUCGGCUGUCACUUAUAGAUGGACCCGCGCCGUAUUAGCUAGUUGGUAAGGUAACGGCUUACCAAGGCGACGAUACGUAGCCGACCUGAGAGGGUGAUCGGCCACACUGGAACUGAGACACGGUCCAGACUCCUACGGGAGGCAGCAGUAGGGAAUCUUCCGCA
rnacentral:rRNA from 1 species